AGGAGAAGGGGAGAAGGAAUAGGGGAGAGGAGGGAGGAGUAUACGGGGAGGGGGGCCGGAUCCGAUCGCCCAGGGCGAUCGAUCGCCCAUUAGGGCCCCCCGAUUCGCCUCCUCUCCGCCUCGGCAGACGGCGCCGGCGCCUCUUCGUCGAGAACGAGGUGGCGAUGGCAGCACACAACGCUGCCCAUGGGCCACCUAGGCGAAGGCGUACCCCGGCCCUGGCGGUGUCUCCUUCUCAGUGAAUCCAUCGGCAAGCUCCAACUCUAAUACGGUAUCGAUCCAUCAGCAGGGCACUGCUACCGUGAUUACCAGAUCUUGCUUCUGGUGCCAUCGUCCAUCGAUAUCGCGGCACUUCCCGAGCGUCGAUCAAUCAACCAGCCUGCAUAUGCCAUAUGGUCUGUGGCGACGGCGGCGGCCCACCAUCAUCAAGCCGUGCAGAGACAGCACUGAUCUAUAUAUCAGGCAGCAUCCUUGAUAGUCUCCUGUCAGGCGUGCUGUUCGCAUGCCCGGUCAUCCAUGCCUUUGGUGCUAGUCUGAAGAAUCAAUAUCUGGGGAUAUAGAGAUUCUUUAUUCGUUUCUAUGAACCACAUCCAGGAUCUACCUGAGCAAAUUAAUCCAGGGUCCGCAUUAGGCUGAUUUAAUCGCCAUACGUACUACCUCCGCUUCAUUGUUAUGUUUCUGUCUUGAUCUCCUGGUUUUGAUAGGGAAAAGAAGCACUUAUACUGUCCAUUCAAAAUUCAGUAUCCUGCUAGAGCAUUAAGUUUAAUUUGCACGAUUCUGAAUGUUAGAGUGAUUUUGUUUGUAAAUCUUAAUCAGAGAUUGAUACUUCUUGCUCAUGGUCAAA